rnacentral:misc_RNA from 1 species
UCACCCCUCAAGCCCCGUGCUUGGUGUUGGACGGCCGGUCGAGCGAAUCGACCCCUCCUAAAGACAAUGACGGCGGCCUGUGGUUCCCCCGGUACACUGAGUUUCUCAUCGAGCACGUAUCGGACCAGGGCACCCGGGUUCCGGUCCCCUCCUUUCACAAGGAAACUUCUAAU